AGAGUUUGAUCCUGGCUCAGAAUGAACGUUGGCGGCACGCCUAACACAUGCAAGUCGAGCGAAGAACUAGUUUACUAGUUACUGAGCGGCGAACGGGUGAGUAAUACUUGGAUAAUCUGCCACUAGGAUUGGGAUAACCUCAGGAAACUGAGACUAAUACCAAAUAUGACCACAGUCUUUACGAAGACAGUGGUAAAAUGUUUUUUCGCCUAGUGAUGAGUCCAAGUCGCAUCAGGUUGUUGGUAAGGUAAUGGCUUACCAAGCCUAUGACGCGUAGCAGGUCUUAGCGGAUGAUCUGCCACAUGGGGACUGAGAUACGGCCCUGACUCCUACGGGAGGCAGCAGUGAGGAAUAUUGGACAAUGGACGAAAGUCUGAUCCAGCGAUGCCGCGUGAAGGAUGAAGGCCUUAGGGUUGUAAACUUCUGUCAGCAGGGAAGAUAAUGACGGUACCUGCAGAGGAAGCCCCGGCUAACUCCGUGCCAGCAGCCGCGGUAAUACGGAGGGGGCAAACGUUAUUCGGAUUUACUGGGCGUAAAGGGUUCGUAGGCGGUUUUUUAAGUUAGAUGUGAAAGCUUGAAGCUUAACUUCAAAAUAGCAUCUAAAACUGAAUUACUAGAUUCUUGGAGAGGUAGAUGGAAUUACCGGUGUAGCGGUGAAAUGCGUAGAUAUCGGUAGGAACACCAGUGGCGAAAGCGAUCUACUGGACAAGUAAUGACGCUGAGGGACGAAAGCGUGGGUAGCAAACAGGAUUAGAUACCCUGGUAGUCCACGCCCUAAACGAUGAAUACUAGAUGUUGGAUUUAUUCAGUAUCGUAGCUAACGUAUUAAGUAUUCCGCCUGGGGAGUACGGUCGCAAGGCUGAAACUCAAAGGAAUUGGCGGGGACUCGCACAAGCGGUGGAGCAUGUGGUUUAAUUCGAUGCUAAGCGAAGAACCU
rnacentral:rRNA from 1 species